rnacentral:rRNA from 1 species
GAUGAACGCUGGCGGCGUGCUUAACACAUGCAAGUCGAACGGAAAGGCCCUGCUUUUGUGGGGUGCUCGGGUGGCGAACGGGUGAGUAACACGUGAGUAACCUGCCCUUGACUUUGGGAUAACUUCAGGAAACUGGGGCUAAUACCGGAUAGGAGCUCCUGCUGCAUGGUGGGGGUUGGAAAGUUUCGGCGGUUGGGGAUGGACUCGCGGCUUAUCAGCUUGUUGGUGGGGUAGUGGCUUACCAAGGCUUUGACGGGUAGCCGGCCUGAGAGGGUGACCGGCCACAUUGGGACUGAGAUACGGCCCAGACUCCUACGGGAGGCAGCAGUGGGGAAUAUUGCACAAUGGGCGGAAGCCUGAUGCAGCAACGCCGCGUGCGGGAUGACGGCCUUCGGGUUGUAAACCGCUUUCGCCUGUGACGAAGCGUGAGUGACGGUAAUGGGUAAAGAAGCACCGGCUAACUACGUG